AUCCAUCUGACGAGUCCCAAAUAGGACGAAGCGCGCGUCCUGGAU
rnacentral:hammerhead_ribozyme from 1 species